rnacentral:lncRNA from 1 species
GCUGACCUCAGGUGAUCGACCUGCCUCUGCCUCCCACAGUGCUGGGAUUACAGGCGUGAGCCACGGCGCCCCAACUUCAGCCCCAAAAUUUGUGUAGGAGAAUUUUGGUUUCCUGUCUACCUGGGGAAGCAGCUAUUCAAAGCAGAAUAAAAUUCUGGAUGCUACAUGAUCCAAAUAAUGAGCUUAAAAUGUAGUUACAGGAAGUACAUUUGUGAGCAAAAGAGCUACUCCUGCAAAGGUAAGUGCCAAAAGACUGUGGUACUAUGGAGAAUUCAAUGGGAUUCUGAAGGGGAGGGACUGCUUCCAUCCAGAAUGGACUGGCAAAGAGGUCAGAAUUGGCUGGGCGAGGUGGCUCUCCCUGUGAUCUGAGCACUUUGGGAAGCUGAUGCAGGUGGAUCAUUUGAGGCCAGGAGUUCAAGACUAGCCUGGGCAACAUAGUGAGACCCCUGUCUCUACAAACAUAAAAAUAAAAAAAUUAGCCUGGCAUGGUGCACACCCGUAGACCCAGAUACUAGGAAGACUGAGGCAGGAGUAUCCUUGACUCCUGAUUGAGGAGGCUGCAGUGAGCUAAGAUCAGGCCACUGCAUUUCAUCCAGCCUGGGCAACAGAGUGAGAACCCGUCUCUAAAUAAAUAAAUAAUAAAAACAAACAGAUGUUUUACAUGGGCAUCGUUUGUGCAGUCCAAAGCAAUUACAAUAGUAACAUCAACCUGGAUCACCAUGACAGAUAUAAUAAUGAAAACAUAUUAUACGAAUUCCCAAAAUGUGACAGAGACCAGAAGUGAGUACGUGCUGUUGGAAAAAUGGUGCUUAUAGACUUACUUGAUGCAGGGUUGCCACAUUCAAUUUGUAAAAACACAGCAUCUGUGAAAACCAAUAAAAGGAAGUGCAGUAACAAGAGGUUUACAGCCUGUUUACAUUCUGACAUGGAGCAACAGUCAAGAUUUAGUGUCAUGUGAAAAAGCACAGAGAAAGGUGUGUUUCCUUUCAUACUGAAAAGGGAGAUGUAUUCUCAUACAUGUAAGCUUGGCCAAACAAGCUUACUAGAAAGAAACACGAGAAACUGCUAGGAAAGGUUAAUGCUGGAGAGGGGGCCUGAAA